rnacentral:tRNA from 1 species
GAAGGUAUAGCUCAGCGGUAGAGUGUGUGCUUAGCAUGCACGAGGUCCUGGGUUCAAGCUUCAGUACCUCCG